CCGGCGCACGGGUGAGUAACACGUAUCCAACCUGCCGAUAACUCGGGGAUAGCCUUUCGAAAGAAAGAUUAAUACCCGAUGGCAUAAUUAGACCGCAUGGUCUUAUUAUUAAAGAAUUUCGGUUAUCGAUGGGGAUGCGUUCCAUUAGGCAGUUGGUGAGGUAACGGCUCACCAAACCUUCGAUGGAUAGGGGUUCUGAGAGGAAGGUCCCCCACAUUGGAACUGAGACACGGUCCAAACUCCUACGGGAGGCAGCAGUGAGGAAUAUUGGUCAAUGGGCGCAGGCCUGAACCAGCCAAGUAGCGUGAAGGAUGACUGCCCUAUGGGUUGUAAACUUCUUUUAUAUGGGAAUAAAGUUUUCCACGUGUGGAAUUUUGUAUGUACCAUAUGAAUAAGGAUCGGCUAACUCCGUGCCAGCAGCCGCGGUAAUACGGAGGAUCCGAGCGUUAUCCGGAUUUAUUGGGUUUAAAGGGAGCGUAGGUGGACAGUUAAGUCAGUUGUGAAAGUUUGCGGCUCAACCGUAAAAUUGCAGUUGAUACUGGCUGUCUUGAGUACAGUAGAGGUGGGCGGAAUUCGUGGUGUAGCGGUGAAAUGCUUAGAUAUCACGAAGAACUCCGAUUGCGAAGGCAGCUCACUG
rnacentral:rRNA from 1 species